CACCAAUCCCGCGCCUCCGCUGGUGGGGAGGGCGCGAGCGGUGGUUGGGGGGCACGGAUACCUGGGGAGAAGGGAGGACAGGUGUGUGGUUAAUUAAGGGAAAGGGAGGACAGGUGUGUGGUUAAUUAAGGGAAAGGGAGGACAGGUGUGUGGUUAAUUAAGGGAAAGGGAGGACAGGUGUGUGGUUAAUUAAGGGAAAGGGAGGACAGGUGUGUGGUUAAUUAAGGGAAAGGGAGGACAGGUGUGUGGUUAAUUAAGGGAAAGGGAGGACAGGUGUGUGGUUAAUUAAGGGAAAGGGAGGACAGGUGUGUUUGUUAGUUAAGGGAGUGUGGAUAACCUGGGAUCAUACAGAAGAUUAAAGACAAUAAAUAAACGAAUAAAAGUAAAUAAUAAAAGGUAAUUAAGUGUGGACUGGACUAAAAGAGAAAGGAUACCAUGCCAUAUACAAAAUCUAUACCCACCUCACAUCCUUACACAGCACCAUGCAGAACACACUGAAGAUAUAGAGAUAAGAUGUGAAGGAAGAGGAAUGAUGGAGAAGAGACGCUGGGAAUAGGAGAUAAGGAGAAGAUUGAUACCUGAGAACGAGGUGAAAAGGGAGAUUCUUGAAGGAGCGAGAGGAAACCUGGGACCAAACACAAAUUUUAGAGGGGGGAAAAAAAAAGCCAAGAUCUGCGUUAAAGAGAAAUAGAGAGAAAAAAAGUCUGGGUAUCACAAAGAGACAAACAAGCAUCAAGGUCUUCGUGGAUGAUAUAUAAAUGUUGAAGCUACCCUAAUAUAUGAACAGGGAGGAAAAUGGAGAUAUCGAAGAAGGUACAGGAAGAAAGUGAUAAAUGAAUGGAUGUAGAUAGAAGCGGUAAAGAAGGUAGAUGGUACUGGAGAUGGGGCUGUGAAGAAGGGACUGAAGAGGGUAGAAAAUAGUAGAUGAUGGGAGGGGAAAUAAUAUAAAGAUGAUGAAGGGAAGGAAACAAGACGAUAGAAGAUGGACGAAGACGAAAAGAAAAAGUAUAUAUUCUCUCUCUCUCUCUCUCUCUCUCUCUCUCUCUCUCUCUCUCUCUCUCUCUCUCUCUCUAACCCACACUUAAAAUGAUUGGAUGAAGGUGUGAAAAGGGCGGGACGAGGAAUAUGGGUGGAGGGCCAAGGAGUAGGAGGAGGAGGAAGGAGGAAAGGGUGGUGGGUGGGUGGGUGGGUGUGGCACUUCUGUGAUUGGUGGGCCAUAUAUAUUGGAGUUCCAAGAAGGGGGAGGGGGGAGGGGAGGAGGGAGGAAGGGAGUAAGACGGGAGUGGAGGAAACGCAAGGAAAUAGGAAUAAAAAAGGAAGAACAGGUGACACGUAAAAGGAAGGAGGGAGGAUAAGGGUGAGUAAAGACGGGAAUGGAGGAAAUGCAAGGAAAAGAGAAAAAACAAAAGUUGACUCGUUAUGGAAGGAAAGAAGGAAGGAAGGAGGAGGGAGGAGGAGGGUGAGGAAGACGGGAAGGGAGGAAAACGCAAGUAAAAAGGAGGAAAAAAGGAAGAAAGAUGGAAGAAAGGAUGGAAGGAAGGAAGGAAGGAGGGAGGGAGGAUGAGGAAGACGGGAAUGGAGGAAAACACAAGUAAAAAGGAGGAAAAAAGGAAUAAAGAUGGAAGGAAGGAAGGAGGAAAGGAAGAAGGAAGGAUAAGGGUGAGUAAAACGGGAAGGGAGGAAAAACAAGGAUGAAAUAAGAAAUAAAAAAGAUAAAUUGUGAAGUAAAAGGAAGGAAGGAAGGAAGGAAGGAAGGAAGGAGGGGGGAUAAAAGUGAGUAAAACGGGACGGGCGAAACUGCAAGGAAAAAGGAGGAAAAAAGGAAUAAAAGGAACAUUAUGGAAGGAAGGAAAGAGGAAGAAAAUGCAAGGAUGAAAUAAGAAGAAAAUAAAGAUAAUAAGUGAAAUAAAAGGAAGGAAGGAAGGAAAGGGAAGGAAAUAUGAAGUCGUUCCAUAGACCCCCAAGACAGGUAGACAGACAGGGACAGACGGACAGACAGUGAUGGAUGAGAGCGAAGUAUCACCUUGCAAGAUACCAUUAGUCCGCCCGUACGUUCUAUGCUUGAAAAAUAUAUACAAGAAGUGAUAAAUAGGAAAAACGGAGUAAAUAAAUGUUAAUAAUAAAAAUCGUUUGAAAAUGUUAAAUAGGAAAACUAGGUAAAUAAGUGUUGAUAUUGAUAAGAAAUAGCGUUUGAAAAUGUUAAAUACGAAAACUAGGUAAAUGAGUGUUGAUAUUGAUAAGAAAUAGCGUUU